UACGAAGGGGGCAAGCGUUGCUCGGAAUGACUGGGCGUAAAGGGCGCGUAGGCGGCUCGAUUUGUCAGGCGUGAAAGUCCUGGGCUCAACCGGGGAGGGUCGUUGGUGACUGUCGCGCUUGAAGGCAGCAGGGGUGAGUGGAACUCCCGGUGUAGUGGUGAAAUGCGUAGAGAUCGGGAAGAACACCCGUGGCGAAGGCGGCUCACUGGGCUGACCUUGACGCUGAGGCGCGAAGGCGUGGGGAGCGAACGGG
rnacentral:rRNA from 1 species